rnacentral:lncRNA from 1 species
UUUCUUUUGUAACGAUUACCUUGGCCUUAGACUUUUACCAUUUUUGGAUGCCAAAGAAAAUCAGGCUUCUGAGCUUGCGAAGGCUGAGUGGAGUUCCAUGUGUCUCCUCUGGCCUUCAUAUGGCUUCCAGGAAGAAGCAUCCCCUUUAACUUCAUAAUUCCACAGGUCUUCUGUCAGUUUGUAAGAAAUCUAUCUAUUCACUUAUUCAUUCAUUUCACAAAUAUUUACUGAGCACCUGCUAGGUGCCAAGUCCUAUUCUGGGCACUGAGGACAUACCAGCCUCCAAAACAGACAGAAAGAAAAAGCCCGCCCAUGUGGAUUUCACAUUCUCAGGAAUGUUUUCCUGCAUGAGGAUAUGUUUAGAAAUCUUUCACCCACCUAAGUCAUCAGGAUAAGAGUUUGCUCUGCUAGUACUACAGAUUCCACAACUGCCUGCCAGGUUUACUUGCUUUUGUGCAAGGAAGAUUUUCUCUCCAGGACUCGUAUUUUCCAACAGCCCAAGGUCCAUGGAGUUUCUUUAGCUUCUAUCACUAGCCUUCUGGGAGUGGGCAGAUCCCUCUGCCAAGUUUACACCUGCAGGGUGAGGCGGGUUGCAUAGCAAACCAGAGCUCAGUGUUGGGGCCCACAAGGCUUCCAUCAGGGGAAGAAUGCUGGUGGAGGGUGACGGGUGGGUCUCUCUAGAUGUUCAGAGGGGCCUGUGGCUUAUUGCCUGGGUGGGCCAAAAUGUCAGCUAAGGGAACUACAGCAGAAGGUCAUUUAGCUGGAAUGUUAGGAUCUGAGACCAGGUAAUGACUUUGCUGGGGUUUAGAUGUCUGUCUAACUUCACAGGAGUACAGAGAUUGAAAAAACACUUGAUCCAGGCACAAUAUCUUCUGGAUACAUUCAUUUGCAUUCUCUUUCUCUUACACAGAUUAAGAAAUGGGAUGCAUAACAUAUUUGCAUGAUUGCAAUUUAUCACUUCCCCAGGGAGCAGGGAGGGGCUGCCUCAGUUCUAGUGAAGCCCUUGUGCCUCAGCAUUAGAGGUAGAUGGGUGAGGCAAGGGCGAUUUCAUGCCUUCCUUGAGGCAAGAUGUCCUCUUCUAGACAAGAGGGCAGCUUGUGUGUCUUGAGGGCCAUGCUUCUCCACCUACCCCCAUGAAUAAAGCAGUGGGGGUCCCCCAGGUGUGGCUAUUUUUGGGGAUUAUUUUAACAGGAAUGCAGAGAGGCUAUAGAUCAGGUUCGACAAUUUGCUGCCUGCCAACACACACUUUACUUGUGUUUUAAAAUGUAAGCUCUGGAAACAUCCUAUGGGGUUCACAAGGAUGCCUUAGCAGCUGACUGAAGGAAGUGUCUUUCUCCAGCCCAGGUAGCAUUUCUGCCAGUCAUGGCUGGUGCUGGGCUGACAACAGUAGUUUUCUUUCUAAGACCCAGUUCCCCUCUGGAAGGAGAAUUCUAAAGGUGGAGGAAAAGCAUCAUCUCUUCUAGAACCUCUUUGUUUUUAUCUUUCUUAUACCACAUUAGCAUGGUGGUAUUCUCCAAGGAUCUUGGCAGGCAAGAACUGGUUUGGUCACUGUAUUUGAUUGCUUUUGUGGAGUCCAAUAAAGAGGACUAUUGUUUCUAGAAGGUCACUGGAAACAUGCAUCUGGCUCUUUGGUAAACACAAUAUUAAGACCAGUGUGAGGCUGAGGGUGUCCUGAAGCCCUGCUCUGAGAUAAGAAGACUUCUGUUCACGAUUUCAGUCAGAAUCAAACAAGGUAUGCCCAGAGCUGAGACACAGCUGAGCCAAACAGGAAGAGAGGGCCGUGUCCUACAAUAAACUGCUGAUAUGUAUCUCUCUACCAUGUGCUGAAUUCAUUAGGGCAAGGGCUGGGUUCUUCUCCAGCAUUCGUAUCCCAUCCCUUUCCAGUAGCUGGACUACUUAGGACACUCUCCGUAAGUUUUUGUGAAUUAAAUUGUAUCCUCAGAUACCUCCUUAGAAUUUCCAAAUCUGUCUUCAAAUUCAAAUGGAGAUACACAUAGCAGAGGCUGACACCUCCAAAAGAGUUUGGAGGAAGUUUACCAAUAUGUUACCUUCGUUUGCAUUUCCACCUUAUUCUCUCUUUCCCUCAGUUAUUAGUACUCAGAAUUGUAAGUGCUUGGGUGUCUAGUCACUCAGUUGACUGAUAGAAGAAAACUCAGUUCUUUGAGAUUAUGUCAGGGUGGACCAAACUGUGGUAACAAAUAGACCCAAAAUAUAAUGGUUCAAACACAAGAGAUGUUUAUUUCUUUCUCACAUAAUAUUCCAAGGCAGACAUUCCAGAUUGUUGGAGUAGGCGCAGGGAGAAAGUUCGGCUCUAUGCGUUCCCUCAGGAAACAGGCUGAUAGUGGCUUUGCCAUAUUCCAAUAUUAACUGGCUUCCAAAGUUGCUAUCACCAUUGUCAUUAUCAGUAUAGCUCAUGGGACCUGGGGAAGAACACAGAGGAGAACAUCUGGGAGGUCUUAUGGCCACUUGGAAGUGGCGUGCACCUCUUCUGCUCACAUGGGAAAGAACAUAGUCAGACACACUCAAACAUCCUGACUGGGAAGUGGGGGAGUGUACCUAGCCACCUUGGAAAUGGAGGAAAAUUUGGGUGGAAGUAGAGAGACUCAGGUUCUUGGAUUUGGAAGAGACCUUAAUUGUGAACGCAUCCAGUGGCCAACCCAGGAUAAGCCCUGGCCUUCCUGCUGGAUUGCUCCCUGCCCCCAUCAUGUAUCUCGGCUGACUUUCUGAUCUAGGAAUACUAAGCAUCAAUCAGUGGAAGGAAAGCAGGAAGGGUCUCUUCUUUCAAAUACAUUCUUUGCCACUUGAUAAAAAAUGAUGAUACAGAAGAAGGAGAAAAUAAAUCCAGAGAAGCUGCCUGCAUGGGGAAACUUGUUCUUUGUGGCCCUGUGAGGCUGAGAUUGUGCCUCACAGAAGGGGCUACGUCACUGAUGAUGUUACAGGAUCUCUAAAAACCACAGUUACUGCUUGAAUCAUAACUGCUGCUUCCAGUUGGCUGUGGUUGCAUUUCUAGAAGGAUAACUACUUUUUGUCAUUCUGGAGACAAGCCAACAUCAACCCACACGUGACUUUAGAAGGCUUUUCCACGUCCUAAUUGCCUACCUCCUGAAUAGGCUUUCUUUUAAGCUUGGUUGGCUUAACUUCUCCCAUCCAUCCCAUUUCUACACACCCUCUCCAUACCCCCACUAUAACUUUCUCAGGCAAACCCUGCAGUCCUGACUCGCUGGUAUCUGUUGAUUGUGUUUGGACUCUCAUGUCCUGCCACUGCCCUUGAGCUCUUAUUUCACCUUGUGCAGACCACCCCAGUCAUCUCACCCUCUCUCUAGGUCACUUGUGGGCACUUAUCCAUUGCCUGGAUUAUUGCAUAUGUUUGUUCAAUAUUAAUCAUGUCUUCUCUGUGAUGUUGUAUACUCCUUGAGCAUUUGGGACUUUCUCAGGCUUGAACGUGGUGCAGUGAGCAUUCUGUACACAUUUCUGGACAAUGGCAGUCUUGUGAGAAUCUGGGAGACUCUGCAGUGACUUGAGCCGGAGAUGCAGAUGAAUGUAAUUGUUGGACGGUGGGGAUUGAUAAAACCUCUCUUACUGGUGGCUAGGAGCAGAAGAGGAGACUCAGCAGCAGGAGAGAACAACAAGAGGAAGGGCUCCCAACUACACUCAGCAUCAGUGAACCCCACCGUAGCUGGAUCAUAUCUGAAUUGGCCACACCCUGGGGCCUUAGACUGUCUGGGCAAUGGCAGGGUGCUGGCAGUUGGAGGGAUGCUGCUAGAGGCUGACAGUGUUCUUACUGGAAACACUCAGCUCAAUGGAUAGGACAACAGCUUCCCAAGGAGAUGGGGGAGCAAGGCCAAGCGAGGAAAGCAGGACUUGUGGAGGGCUUUGGGCCACCUCACCUACUUUCCCUGCUUCUUCCCCCCAGGGGCCUUGCAGACAGUGCUUCUUGCCCAGAGAGAGUAAAGGGUGGGAUGGGGAGAGGGCAUCAUUCAUUUCUUGUGUCUGAGGUGAACGAGUGUGAGAUGAGCUCCGGCUCACUCUCUUCAAGCUGGAACUUAAAGGACUCCCAGCUGCCCCUACACUCCAGUCAUUCAUGGAGUGAGUGCCAAGCUCAUCUCUAUUUGAAACUCAGGGUCUCUCUGGGAGCCCAGAAUUCCUGAGCAAUUGUUUUAUGAGGUGUAAAGUGUUUCUUCAGCAGGGAGGAUGAUGCGGGGCAAGGCGAAGGCUUAGAAAAGACAGUUCUACUGUGCAAAUUGACUACAGACCUGGAUAGGAAAUAGGGAAACAAGCCGCAUGCCUCAUAGCAGGUUCCCUGGGAAAUUCCCUCCUCUCCUAAUGUCUUUCCUACAGGCACCCCCCAUCCCGGUGGGCUAUGAGAUUUUGCCCCCUCAACCUGAGAACUGACAGGGGGUAAUCAGGGUGAGCGCUGGAGAAGCACAAGUGAGAUUCUGAAGAAGCGCAAGUGAGACUCUGGAGACCUCUGUAGCGUGAACUCUCUGCUGAGACCGUUCAACUUGUGCCUUUCUUACGGCCCAAGUUCCAGCAGCACAUUUUCCAGUGUGGGAUCCCUCUUCCCUGGCAGCAGCUCUGCCAGAGCCCUGGGUGUUUACUGUGACACACCAUAGAGAAACGGGGAAGGAAGUCAAGUCCAUCAUGACAUGUCUUAGUUCUGGCCAUUUCUAACACCUAAGAAGAGGCUGACAGAGUGCCCGAGGGCCCCAGGGACACCACCCAUCUCCCAAGGGGGUGCUUUUUAGAUUUCUCCUUGCCACCCAGCUGUGAGGUAUGAAAUAAUUUAGUAGGCCUUGCACCAUUGAGAAUAAAAGGAGAACAGACAAUUUCAGCACGCCUGGCACAUAGCAGGGUAAGUAUUGUUUGGUGAAACUUACAUUUCCUCUCUAGGUACACCAAUAGGUGCAACGCGUACCCACAUAAGAUGUAUUUCUUAUUGUGGUCCUGGUUAAAAAAAGCGUCUAAGUGGUUCUAUUACAGCAUCUCAGCUGAUUCCAAGUAUUCAGGGAAUGAGGGUGGAGCACAGAAUGGGAGUGGGGAGGAAGGUCCCAAAGAACGGGUUGAACUUUUCUGCCUCCUGAGCUAAACGUAGUCUCCCCACCUCCCUGAGGAUUUAAGGGCCUUUGACUCAGCCUUUUGGGACCUGAGAGACCACCAUAAGCCUUGUGCUUUGAAUACUUCUUGCAGCAGGCCCUGCCAAAAGUACCUGGAUGGGAAGGGCUGCCCUUUAAGAACUUGAAUUUAAAGGACUUCAGUGGUUAGUUGUAAAAGUGAAUGACGUACCAAGGGCUUUUAUUUAUCCCUAGAACUCCUGUAAUUUCCAAGAUGCAUAGACUGGAAGAAGAUAGCCCUGCUACUCAUACUUGAAAGAAAGGAGGAGAGGAGAGGUUGGCCCACCUCCCUCCUGCUCUCCCUCCCUUUCCCAGGCCUCCUUCUCUCUCUUUGCCUUGUCCCUAGCAGGGAAGGAGAUUGGAACAGGCAGCCUUUGGGGACUGUGGGACCCUCUUCCUGAUAGGUCAGAUCCACAGUGGCCCAGGAAGGCCCUACCUGGACAGCGAAUAGUGUCUCUAGGGGGAGGGAAGUUUCCUCCAGGUGGGACCUUUGGUCACAUGGCCUCACAUGGUUUAUGUCUCAGAGUGACAGGUGUCGCUUGUUAUAAGACACAAGAGUAAAAAGCAAAGAGGAGCAGACAAAGGCAGGUCCUCAAGGGAGGUGGGCUCUGCAGGAUUCCCUAAGAGCCAAAAAGGCACAACAAGGGAGCCCAGUGGCACUGGUAGGCUUCUGAGCAUAGGCAUUCCAGGGCUUUGUUAUUAUUUUUUCCAAAUGGAAACCUCUUUAGAAGAUCAACUGUCAUAAUUUGCCCAAGCUACAAGCUCAAACAUGGCUAAGAAACAUUGCUCAAGGUCAUUUCCAAAAGCACGUUCUUCCAGCUUUUCGAGGUCGGGGCGGGGAUUUGUGUUCUGUUCUCAUUUUUGCUUGUGUCUUUGCCCAUGGUUGAACUGAAGAGGUCUCUCCAGGCCCAGUGUUCACCGGAAGAAGGGGAGAUGGGAACUAUUCCCAGCCACUCUUCUCUCAAGAACUGAUGGGGAGUCAUGGGUCCCUGCCCCACUUGUCCAUGUGAGAGGGAAGCAGGUGUGCUUUUACCAGAAAGAGUUCUCGAGGGGUUAGCACCCCAGGAAUGCAUCUAUGCUGACUCUGCUUAUCAUGACUCCCCACCUUCAAAAUACAUCUUAGGGUCACCGCACAUCCCAGAAAGUGGCAACACAGGGGCACCCCUCGAUGUGCCGAGUAUCCAGAGUCACGUUCUUGGAAGGCGUGACCAGCGUGUAAUUUAAGCAAAUGGAAUCUUUCCCAAAUGUCUUCUUUUACAACUGAAAAAACAAAUUAAGCAACAGAGGAAAAACAAAUCCAGAGAAAUAGCCUCUUCCGGGGAAGUCUGACCUCCCUGUCUAGAAGGUGAGGACAGUGCUGCGGCCGUGUUUCUGCUGGCUCCGGCCCGAGGCUGUCUCCCAGACAGCUGCUGUCCCACUGAAUUAGGUUCAAGCGAACACGGCCAUUGAGAUCCAAAGUAUUUCUGGCUGGUUUGGGCGUGGGUCCUUUCUCUAGAUGAAUAUUUUAAUGUGGGAAUUCAGAGGAAAGCUAUGGGGAAAGCAGUGUUGGUCAACUGACGACGCUAAAGAACCACCUUCGGUGGUUGUCACGGUGAGUUUGGCACUGAAGGCUCUUUGCUGUUCUGACCUGAAGCUCUCUGUUAGGACUUCCUGCUAUUUUUCUCACAAGCCCUCAUUUUCGCUGACAGUUCAGAUCAUGCCCUGUGCAUAUCCAGUUCCCCCGGUAGGCACGGCUCCUCCUUUCACCUCAAUGCCCCGCUUUCCGCUCGGCCCACACUGGACUCUUGCUACCUCUUGUUUUGGCUUAUGUUUAAUCUUACUUUUUUAAAGCAACAUCUUCUGAUUAUGAAAUAAUUUAUACUUUUUUUUUGCAGAGAAUGUGGAAAAUACAGAAAAGUAUAAGCAGAAGCAUAAAAAUUAUUCACAGUUGCACCCUUGGAGGGAGCUGUCCUAUAAAUCUUGGUGAAUUUGCUGCCCUUCUUUUUUCUGUGGAUCUGUCUAUUACAUGUGAUAGUUUUUAAAGCUGAUGUCAUGUUAUUGAUGUAGUUUUGCUUCUUGCUUUAUCCAUUGAAGACUAUAAUGUGAGAAAUUUCCUCGCUGGGGCUCUUCCCAAACCUGAUAUUUACUGACCACACCAAUAUUCAAUUGAAUGAGGGAGUGUCAUAAUUCAAUCACUUAUAGUUUCCAGAAACGUUGUGCUCAUUUACAUUUUCCUUAGCAGCAUAUGAGGGUGCAUGAAUCCCAUCAUCACAACGCAAUGGAAUUAGGGAGAAAUGCCAGUGAAAGAUGAAGAGAGAUGAGGCAGGACUAGCAGGAGCGCCUCAGACCCUCAUUUCUGCAGGCAAGAAAGGAAAGGAUCCUGUGGAAGGGUCUCCCACUGCUGUGUGAUUCUAAAAGCUUUGGGCAGGGGAUAGGGAGUCUCCAAACCAAAGCCUGGUGGCCAUUCUGUGACAGGCAGGAGUGGGCUGCUAUGAGGACCCUGGUCAUGUUGAAGCUUUGGCGGGGGGUCACCAAGAGGUGGAUAGCUGGAGCUGUCAGUCAACUCUGCUUCCCAGGGGCAGAUUCUCUCAAAACAGACCAGAACUAUAGCCCUUGCUCUCCCAUGCCCACCCCACUUCACCUGAUAAACAGGAAAUAUAAUUAAAACAUAUAAUUAUGAACUGUGAAAAUGGUCUAAUUUUGCUGGUUUUCAUUCUUCUGAUUAACCUUGAUGUCAAACAUUUCUCAUGAAUUUUGUUACAUACUUGUACUUCUAAGAAUUGUGUGCCUGGGUUCUCUGUUUGCCCGUGAUUGUUUUCUUUAUUGAUGUUUUAAGAGGAUUUGCGGCAUUAAGCCUGUUAACUCUUUCUCCAUUCUCUUUCAUAUUUUAACCAAUUUAUCACUUCUCUUUAUAUUUUAUGUAGGAUGUUUGGAUGUUUUAGAAUAACUCACUCUUCUGUUAAGAUCACUUUUAUUUACUUCAUGUUCAGAAAAUUCUUGCUCAUCCAGGCUCUAGUUAAAUAUAUGCCAGUAUUUUAUUCUAGAUACUUUUGGAUUCUUUUUUUUACAUUUAAUACACUGGGGUUUUAUUUCAGUGUAUGAGGGAGGGAUCAAACUUGAUUAUUUUCCCCCCUUUUAGCCACAUUUUCCAAUUUUACUUUCAGAUAAUUUAACCAUUAACCAUUUCUUCCUGGUGAUUCCUUUCUGAGAUUUAAAUUUUUAAAAUAUGUAUGAUAGAUCUCAGGACUAUCUGUUUCUACUUCAUUGGAUGAUCUACAGAAUCUUGUACCACCAGCACCACACUGUUUUAAUUAUUGUAUCAAGAAUAAUACAGUUAGAUAUCUCUUAGGGACAGUAUCUCCUUGAUAUUCUUUAAGCAGUUCUUAACUCUUCUCAUCCUUUUUUUCCCUUCCAGAUGGACUUUCAUCAAAUUCAAAGAAAAAAAAAAGAUUCCACUGGGAUUUAAUUCAGAUUGCAUUUCACCGAAAAAUUACAAGGAUUAACAACAAGGAUUAAUAGCAUUGCUGCAUUCAUUAUGGCAACCCAAGGUUAUGUCUCUCUAUUGACUAUUCUCUUUAAUUAAUCUGUGUAAAAAGUUUGCAUUUUUAAUAUAGGUCUUGGAUAUUUCUUAUUAGUGUUCUUUAUAUUUUUUUCCAAUACUCUUAAGAAUGCAUUUUUCUCCCUAUAUUUUCUGCUUGUUGUUAGAAUAGAAACAGUAUUUAUUUUGGAGAUUUUUGUAUUUUUAUCUUGUAUCUGACCCCUUCCCUAAUUUUUAUGAAUACUAAGAAUUUUACAGUCAGUACUUUUAUAUUAUCUUGGUGCAUAAUCAUAAUGUAGUCUGUAAGUAACAAACAUUUUGUUUCCUUCUUUCUAUUGUAGAGUUUGAGAAGUCGUCAGUGUGUAGUCCUGUUACCUUAAUUGUUUCUGAGUUAUGGGUUGAAUUUAUUUUGAAAUUUCAAAAAACUUCAAAGGGUAGUAUGUUAUUUUUGUGUUAAUCAAAAUGAACAAUGGGUUUCAAAAGCUUGAACAACGUCAUCUUGGGAGUGCCAAAUGAAUAGGAUGUCCUGUAUGUCAGGAGCAUGCCCACACUUUUCUUGCUAGGGUGAGUUUAUUGUCCCUGAUGAAUCCCAGGAGUACUAGUCCAUGAUGCUCUUAUUCCCUGGUGCUUUAACAUGCAGUGCAGCCGGAGUUGGCCUGAACUUUAGGAAAUGAGGUCGUAAGUCGAAAGAACAGGGAAUUGAGAAAGCACACAGAAGCAGCCAGGGCCAACAUUUUCCCCUAAACAAGCCAAUCAACAAAAAGCAAUGCCAAACAAGCCCCUUUGAAACUUUCAAAGUCCUCAUCCUAGUACCUUCCUAGCACUCUAGGAGACAUCUUUCAGCUGUUGAUUUAUGAACGCUGAGAGGCACGUGGAGGAAUUAAUGGAGGUAAAUAUCUAACUUAAAAAAUCUUCAGUAGGCAUUUUUAGACAAUCCUCCUUGAAAGAAAAGUGUGGAUGCUCUGUGCGUGUAUUGACUGCACCUGCAGGGGUAUAGCUGGAGAACACCCAGUGAGCAUCUUCAGGAGCCAAGUCACGCAGGGGCUUAGCUCUCAGUCCAUUGCGACAGUUGCCAUGAUGCCUUCUGACCAUUAAACACUUUGAACUCUUUUCUCUCAUCCUCUGUUAUUUGCUUUGGACCCAUAACAGACUCAUUAGUUAAAAAUAAGAAGCAAAGGUAAUCCUGAUGUUGAAUUACAAGUUAAUGCAGAGCACAGACAUGAAAAUAAUUCUAUGGGUUUGCUGCAGCAUAAUCCUUGCCAGAUCUCCAAGUUCCAUUCAUCUAAUGAAAAGCCUUAGUUUGAAGAACAUUUUGGAGAACUCUUACAUCAAGAGGUCUCCAGUACCUCAAAAACCAGUGUUCAAAAGGAAAAUGCACACGCGCAUUUCAGGGAGGUGGGAAUAAAAGCCUUCCUUUGCGCAGCGUGUUACAUGUGGAAAUGUGGAACGCACACGAUCAUUCUUACUGUUAAAAAACCCCACAAAGAUUAUAAAAAUAUGUCAGUUUUUUUUUGGUGCAAAAACUCACACGAUUAAAAAUAUUAUACUAUGAAAGCAGCUUUGAUCUAUUCUUCAGUCAUUUCUGUGACGUGUGGUUAAAUUUAAUCUGUUUAAAUUUUUUAUUUGAUUCUUCCAAACCAAACACAAUAUCUCAUUUUAAAACGUAUCUGCUGACAGUGGUUUUUCUUCUCGCCUGAAUCAUGCUGAGAACAGGUGUAACCAGAUGUCCUCUUAGCCUACAAACACAUUUCAGAAAAUC